rnacentral:lncRNA from 1 species
AAGCCACAAUAAGCAUUAAGCAUAGAAAUCAAAUACUAACAUUGAAAUGGAAAAACAUAUAUCAUUAACAUCACAAAGUACAUAAGAAUUCCAUGUUUUACAACUAAUCUCAACAAAUAGGAAAAGCCCUCCAUAGUGGAGAACUUAGGGUUCUACAAAAUUGAAGAGAUAGGGAAGAAAUCGGAACCAAGGAGAAGAUGCACAGCCUUUCCCAAGGUUCUUGGCAGCUGCUCCAUGCUCCAUUUGUGCC